GACGAACGCUGGCGGCGUGCCUAAUACAUGCAAGUCGAGCGAACGGACCAGAAGCUUGCUCUUCUGAAGUGACGGGCGGAAGGGUAAGGAAGGCGUGGAGAGCCCACCUAUAAGACCGGGACCACUUCGGGAGGCUGGAGCUAGGAACGGGUAGUAUCUUGAAGCGAAGGGAGCAGAAGGGAAGAUCGGUUUUGAAGUAACGUCUAGAGGGAUCCCCGCUGGAUUGGCUAGUUGGCAAGGAAACGGCUUACCAAGGCAAGGAUGCCUAGCCGAGCUGAGAGACUGAUCGGCCACACUGGAACUGAGACACGGUCCAGACUCCUACGGGAGGCAGCAGUAGGGAAUCUUCCGCAAUGGUCGAAAGUCUGACGGAGCAACGCCGCGUGAGUGAUGAAGGUCUUCGGAUCGUAAAGCUCUGUUGUUGGUGAAGAACCUUUGUGGAAGUAACUGUGCCCUUCUUGACGGUACCUAAUCAGAAAGCCACGGCUAACUACGUG
rnacentral:rRNA from 1 species